GUGGGGAAUUUUGGACAAUGGGCGCAAGCCUGAUCCAGCAAUGCCGCGUGCAGGAAGAAGGCCUUCGGGUUGUAAACUGCUUUUGUACGGAACGAAACGGUCCUGGCUAAUAUCCGGGGCUAAUGACGGUACCGUAAGAAUAAGCACCGGCUAACUACGUGCCAGCAGCCGCGGUAAUACGUAGGGUGCGAGCGUUAAUCGGAAUUACUGGGCGUAAAGCGUGCGCAGGCGGUGCUGUAAGACAGGCGUGAAAUCCCCGGGCUCAACCUGGGAAUUGCGCUUGUGACUGCAGUGCUGGAGUGCGGCAGAGGGGGAUGGAAUUCCGCGUGUAGCAGUGAAAUGCGUAGAUAUGCUGAGGAACACCGAUGGCGAAGGCAAUCCCCUGGGCCUGCACUGACGCUCAUGCACGAAAGCGUGGGGAGCAAACAGGAUUAGAAACCCGUGUAGUCC
rnacentral:rRNA from 1 species